rnacentral:misc_RNA from 1 species
CAGAGAGCCUGAGAUUAUGAAAAGUUACGAUGUGCAGAUCGAUAUAGAAGUUCUUGAUAUGCUCGACACUAUUUCAAGACAGAAAGAUGUGAAGGUUAUUACAAAACUGUACUGGGGAGGAGACGCGAGAGAGAAGCUUCUUGAUGCAAUCGAAGAUCUGAAGCUGGACUCUCUGGUCAUGGGAAGCAGAGGACUUGGCACUGUCCGAAGGAUACUUCUGGGAAGUGUGAGCACAUAUGUGAUGACCCAUGCUUCUUGCCCAGUGACCAUUGUGAAGGAUAAUUGAUGAAUGGCCAUGUUAAUUCUGUGUUGGGCUGUGUGCUGUUUGGUUGAUGAUGGCGAUGGAUGAUCAUGGCUUUGUGUUUUUUUGUUUAAUUGCUUGUUUUAUAUAUUUUGAACUAUUUAAAAGUAAGGUAUUUGGCAGCGGCCGCGGCGGCCCG